GAUGAACGCUGGCGGCGUGCCUAAUACAUGCAAGUCGAGCGAACGGAGGAGAAUCUUGCUUCUCUUAUGUUAGCGGCGGACGGGUGAGUAACACGUGGAUAACCUACCUAUAAGACUGGGAUAAGUUCGGGAAACCGGAUCUAAUACCGGAUAAUAUUUUGAACCGCAUGGUUCAAAAGUGAAAGACGGUCUUGCUGUCACUUAUAGAUGGAUCCGCGCUGCAUUAGCUAGUUGGUAAGGUAACGGCUUACCAAGGCAACGAUGCAUAGCCGACCUGAGAGGGUGAUCGGCCACACUGGAACUGAGACACGGUCCAGACUCCUACGGGAGGCAGCAGUAGGGAAUCUUCCGCAAUGGGCGAAAGCCUGACGGAGCAACGCCGCGUGAGUGAUGAAGGUCUUCGGAUCGUAAAACUCUGUUAUUAGGGAAGAACAUAUGUGUAAGUAACUGUGCACAUCUUGACGGUACCUAAACAGAAAGCCACGGCUAACUACGUG
rnacentral:rRNA from 1 species